AUUUAAUGCGCCAGUUGAUGGGUUACGUUGAUGUUGUAAAUAUAUAGGAUUUUUCCUUUCAUUAGUU
rnacentral:tRNA from 1 species